rnacentral:misc_RNA from 1 species
UGACCCAUAAUUUAGCCCUUCAUCAACUUUUCCUAUCAAGUCCUUAAGCCAUAGUCGUUUUCUAUUUAAGCCCUUGAAUUUUUUUCAAUUCCAUCUUAUCAAGUCCUUAUUUAAAUGGUGUUAAAUCAAAAAUCUAAUAGGAUGAAGAAAAAUUAAAAAAAAUAAAUCUAGGGUUCAAUAGAAAAUGAUUUGGGUUUAAGGGCUCAAUAGCAAAAGCCUUCAAAGUUCAGGGCUUAACUUAUGGUUUUUUCCUACAACUUAUUCUCAGAAAGGUUCCAACACACACACUGUACAGAAGUUACCAUGAAAUGCAUGUAGAAA